rnacentral:lncRNA from 10 species
UGAGACUUGACGUGCCUUUUAAGAGAAGAAAGAUGCGUGAAGACUGUCCUGCACUUGGUGCAUUCAUAUGGUUUUUCUCCAGCAGAAACUUUCUUGUGCAGAACUGAUGAGAAAGAAAUGAGUUCAUUAAAAACCAAGGGAAGGAAUGAUGCCAUCCUCACCUACUGAGGCCAGGUUCCGGAAGGUCUCCAGCAUCACAUCUCUGUAGAGGUCCCUCUGAGCAGAAUCCAGCAAAGCCCACUCCUCCAGGGUGAAGUCCACAGCCACAUCCUCAAAGACCACUGAGUCCUAAGACAAACCACACAGGUGUGCAGGAGGAUUGGAGACACUGAAAGUACUGGGGAACUGGACUCAAUUCAUAAAUUCAAACAAGAUUCUGUGGUGUCCCAACACCUCCUCUAUGACGCGAAUGUUAGAUCUUUUACUUAUUCACAAUCACUUCCUAGUAAACUUCAUGGCACCACUAUCAGUCUGAACUUAUCUCUGCCUUUUUACUGCGACUGCUCUUAUUUUCCUCUACCAGGAGGGUCUAGAGAAAUGCUAUGCAAAUGAAGUAACUUUUCCAUUUGAAACGUUGCAUAACGCAGCAGGCCUCGGUUGUCCAAACGAUGCACAUUUCAUAGGACUUUCGGAAAAGCCUUCCACCAGCUACUGCAGAAAAUGGAUUCUGUGACUGUAAAAACCAAUGGCCGGGCGCAGUGGCUCACACCUGUCAUCCCAGCACUUUGGGAGGCCGAGGAGGGCGGAUCACGAGGUCAGGAGGUCGAGAUCAUCCUAGCUAUCUCUACUAAAAAUGCAAAAAAUUAGCCGGGCGUGGUGACGGGUGCCUGUAGUCCCAGCUACUGGGGAGGCGGAGCUUCGAGUGCGCGCUACUGCACUCCAGCCUGGGCGACAGAGCAAGACUCCGUCUCAAAAAAAAAAAAAAAAACCAAAAAAAUAACAACAACAAUGAAAUGUGCACGUUAAAUGGCUGUACGUUCUAUAUGUCAGUAAAGCUGGUUUUUAAAAAACAUAAAGAAUGUGAAGUUCACUGUCUUCCUCAAAAACAUGAUACACAAAAUGAAGACGCCCAUGACCUCACCUCUAGUCAACGUUAUACUAGUUCCAGCACCACCAGGAAAUAUACAAGAAUUAUAAAACAUAAACUUGUCUUUUUGCAAAUUUCUAAGAAUUAUGCACAUAAAACCCC